UGCAUGCUGCUCCGUUUUACCAGAAAAUUGGCAAGAUGGCUGCCACCAAAACCACAAUCCCACAUCUGUCCGUCAUGAUUACCGAGGUUGGCAAGGCUGUACAAUCUCAGACUGCAUUAACUUUUGAACUUAAACGCAAGAUGGAAACCAUCUCUGAGCAGUUGUCUGCCCUGCAAAGGAAUUGAUGUUGGAGACCAGUGAAUAUUCACACAGUUGGAUCUGGACAGUUAAGAGAAGCCAUAUUGGAGUUCUGUGCUUCUCUGCCUAAACCCAAAACACGGCAGCCUUAUCAGCAACUGAAGGUCAAAAUGCCCAUCUUAUUUUCC